UACGUAGGGGGCAAGCGUUGUCCGGAUUUAUUGGGCGUAAAGAGCGUGUAGGCGGCCAGGCAGGUCCGCUGUGAAAACUCGAGGCUCAACCUCGAGAGGUCGGUGGAAACCGUCUGGCUAGAGUCCGGAAGAGGAGAGUGGAAUUCCCGGUGUAGCGGUGAAAUGCGCAGAUAUCGGGAAGAACACCCGUGGCGAAGGCGGCUCUCUGGGACGGUACUGACGCUGAGCCGCGAAAGCGUGGGGAGCGAGCCGG
rnacentral:rRNA from 1 species